rnacentral:sRNA from 1 species
GCGUUGAUCCCCGCGAUGGCAUUCUCAUAGUCGCCU